rnacentral:tRNA from 1 species
GCGAGCGUAGCCAAGUGGUUAAGGCAGUGGGUUGUGGUUCCAUCAUUCGCGGGUUCAACUCCCGUCGUUCGCC